GCAAGUCGAGGGGUAACAGGGAUUAGUUUACUAGUUUGCUGACGACCGGCGCACGGGUGAGUAACGCGUAUACAAUUUACCUUUUACAGGGGAAUAGCCCAGAGAAAUUUGGAUUAAUGCCCCAUGGUAUUAUCGAAUCGCAUGGUUUGAUAAUUAAAGUUUCGGCGGUAAAAGAUGAGUAUGCGUCCUAUUAGCUAGAUGGUGAGGUAACGGCUCACCAUGGCUACGAUAGAUAGGGGGCCUGAGAGGGUUGUC
rnacentral:rRNA from 1 species